UGCCUAUCGGCUAGACCUGUUCAAUGAAAUCCUGGACAUUUGCGCCAGUAAUGACCAGGAUUUCAUUGAACAGGUCUAGCCAAUAGGCA